GUUCUUCCCAACCAAGUGGUCAUGUCUCUUCUAGUCUUUCAUGAUACACCCUGCUUUUCCACCACCGAAGAUCCAAUAUAAGACUUUGGUGUCUGACCAUGAGACCACCAGUUGGCUGAGUGGUUCUAAAAUCACCUUUACAUCAACACCAUAUCCUGAGAUCCAGAAAAAGGAAGAGACACAGUCCUUGUUCUUUAUAGAAUGAAAGUGACUGCCCAUUCACAGAGAGGAUGAAAGCAAUAAUACAUUUCUUUUUUGAAGGUCUAAGCCCAUCUUGUUACUUUUCAGCUACCCAAAUUAUCCUAGAAGAGCAUCCUUAAUUGCCCUUCCAUAUUUAUCACUCUCCUCUCCUCCUCUCCCUUGCUUUAUACUUCUAUAUCUCUUAGUUUCCUUUUUUUUUUUUCCUUCCCCACUGAGUUGGUACUGAUGGUUGGUAGUGUGGAUAAACAGGCAAACCUUUCUCCCCUAAACUUAGCAUACAUAUGAACUACUGCACUUGAAGGUCUGCCCUACUUAACUGCUGUCCAGUGUAGGAGAAUGAUUCUUUUCUAGGCCCACAGACAUGCCAAGAUAAUCUUCAUGUACAGGACUCAGCUAAACCAGUAAUAUUGAAAGGAUUUCUGUGUUCUUUCUACUUUACAUCUGGGAGGUUGAGCUCUUGCUCAUCUGGGAAAAAGGAUGUGCAGGGGACACUGUGUCUGGAUUCAGAAAGGAAAUACAUUCCCUUGCUAUAGAAGCUCCCAUGCCAAUGUCCAGCACCCCUUCCCCUUCUCAACAAAUUAAUCAGGACACCUA
rnacentral:lncRNA from 1 species